UCUGAUCUGGCUCAGAUUGAACGCUGGCGGGAUGCUUUACACAUGCAAGUCGAACGGCAGCACGGACUUCGGUCUGGUGGCGAGUAAGGAACGGAGUAAUGUAUCGGAACGUGUCGGUAGUGGGGAUAACUACGCGAAAGCGUGUAGCUAAUACCGUACAUACGCUCCUGGGGAAAGCGGGGACCUUCGGGCCUCGCAAUUAAUAGAGCGGCCGAUAUCGGAUUAAAGAAGUACAGGGGCAACGGCUCACCAAGGCGACGAUCCAGCUGGUUUCCGAGAGGACGGACUCAGCCACACUGGGACUGAGACACGGCCCAGACUCCACGGCGGUGCAGGGAAUUUUGACAAUGGGAAACUGAUCCAGCCAUCCGCGUGUGCGAUGAAGGCCUUCAAGCAAAAAAGCACUUUUUUGGCAGGAAAGAAACGGCACGGGAUAAUACCCCGUGCAACUGACGGUACCUGCAGAAUAAGCACCGCUAACCAGCCAGCCAGCAGCCGCGGUAAUACGUAGGUGCAAGCGUUAAUCGGAAUUACUGGGCGAAGCGCAGGCGGUUCGGAAAGAAAGAUGUGAACUCAGAGCUUAACCUCUUUGGAACUGCAUUUUUAACUACCGAGCUAGAGUGUGUCAGAGGGAGGUGGAAUUCCGCGUGUAGCAGUGAAAUGCGUAGAUAUGCGGAGGAACACCGAUGGCGAAGGCAGCCUCCGGGAUAACACUGACGCUCAUGCACGAAAGUGCAAGAGCAAACAGGAUUUUUAGAUACCCGUAGUCCAUUCUAAACGAUGUCAACUAGCUGUUGGGGCCUUCGGGCUCUCGGUAGCGCAGCUAACGCGUGAAGUUGACCGCCUGGGGAGUACGGUCGCAAGAUUAAACUCAAAGGAAUUGACGGGGACCCGCACAAGCGGUGGAUGAUGUGGAUUAAUUGAUGCAACGCGAAAAACCUACCUACCCUUGACAUGUCUGGAAUCCCGAAGAGAUUUGGGAGUGCUCAAAAGAGAACCGGAACACAGGUGCUGCAUGGCUACCGUCAGCUCGUGUCGUGAGAUGUUGCUGUCCCGCAACGACGCAACCCUGUCAUUAGUUGCUACGAAAGGGCACUAUCGAUCGCCGGCGACAAAACCGAGGAAGGUGGGGAUGACGUCAAGUCCUCGCGGCCCUUAUGGGUAGGGCUUCACACGUCAAGGCAAUGUCGGGACAGAGUAGGGUCGCCAACCCAGUGAGGGGAGGCCAAUCCCAGAAACCGACUGGGAAGUCCGAUCGUAGCCCAACUCGACUGCGUGAAGUCGGAAUCGCUAGUAAUCGCGGAUCAGCAUGUCGCGGUGAAUACGUCUGGUCUGUACACACCGCCCGUCGGGCUACCAUGGAGUGGGUUUUACCAGAAGUAAAGUUAGCCUAACCGGGUAAGGAGGGCGAUUACCACGGUAGGGAUUCAUGACUGGGGUGUCGUAAUAGCGUAA
rnacentral:rRNA from 1 species